rnacentral:rRNA from 1 species
UGCCCACUGAUUAAAAUUAAAGGGCUGCAGUAUAUUGACUGUACAAAGGUAGCAUAAUCAUUAGUCAUUUAAUUGAUGACUUGUAUGAAGGAUUGGAUGAAGUAUAAACUGUCUCUAUUAUAUAUUAAAUGUAAAAUUUAAUUUUUAAAUUAAAAAGUUUAAAUAAAUUAAAAAGACGAGAAGACCCUAUAGAGUUUUAUUUAAUUAUUAAAUUAUAAUUAUUUUUAUAUUAAAAAUUUUUAAUUUAAUAUUAAAUUUUAUUGGGGUGAUAAAAAAAUAUAAAUAACUUUUUUAAUUAAAUAAACAUAAAUAAAUGAUUAAAUGAUCCAAUUUUAUUGAUUAUAAGAAAAAGUUACCUUAGGGAUAACAGCGUAAUUUAUUUUUUUAGUUCAUAUAAAAAAAUGAGUUUGCGACCUCGAUGUUGGAUUAAGAUAAAAAUUAAAUGCAAAAGUUUAAAUUUUUUGA